UCUUCGUUCAUAAUAAACCAACUGGGUAUAUUUCGGCCGCGUGAAUACAGCGCGGUGCAGUCGCAGAGCACGAUAUAUGGUAUCGGCGUCUCACCAAUAUUGACCGACGGCACCUAGCCGAAGGUAGAUCGGAAAUUCUUAUUUGCGUGUUGUUGCCUGUUUGCGCUGUGCCAACCCAUUUUCCUUACCUUCGCAUCUGGAUAGCAGCAGCAAUCUCGCACCAGGCGUGCGCUUGCACCCGGCACGUGUGCGCGAGGCUAGAGCUCGGCGUGCCAAGAAGACGAAGAAGGUGUCAAGCCGGUGCCCGCUCAUCGCUACGAACCACCUUCUCCUGUGUACGCUAUGGCCGAUGCCAGCAGCGCGGUGUGCAGCAGCCGGUCCGCGCUCGAGGCGCCGCCGGCGGCGAGCGCCGGGAACGCCCACGCCGCCGUCGUCUCUGCCGCCGAUGAGUCUGGCAGCGGGGACGGCGCCAGCGAGCAGCAGGCCGGUGCCCCGCCGUACUUCGUGUCGUGCUCGGACGCCUGCUUCUGCGCCUUCUGCAUCCUCUUCGUGGUGGCCCUGAGCUUGUCCUUCGCCCUGGGCAUCGCCUACGUACAGGGGGCCAAAGUAGUGCGCGUGGUGGGUGACGUGGCAACCCCUCCAGGCGCCGCGAAUUAUGGAAGCUUGCUGUCGAGUGUCCUGGCGGGCUCGAGAAGACAGGAGGCGGCGCCCGCUGCCAGGACCGUUAACGACAGUUUUGCUGUCCGCUGACGCCAGUGCGACGCGAUGGAAAAGAUGCGACGCCUUGAGGAUAUAAAUGUGUGCAAUGUAUACGCAACGAACGUGGCGUGCACUGCAACGUCGUACAAGGACGUCGCACUGCGCGUUGUCACAAACAUUUUUGUCAGGUAUCUUUAACUAUACUAUGAGGAGCAAUACUACAGUAAAGACGUGCGCGUGAUUUUGUAUUUUCUUCUAAGCACGAGUGUUUAAAUUUCUUGAUGAUUGCUGCGUGCUAUAACUAUGAGUUUCGUUGGAAUAAAUAAUCACGAGUUUUUCGAUGUCCCCGCCAAUCGUGCAGACUUUCCAGCUGAUUGAUAAAACAUCGAUUAAUUAACUUUGCGAAUCUAAUAGAACCGAGAGGGUGGGAGCUGCCUUCUCACAUUGAAUCAAAUGUCGAAUUAUUUUUAUAAAGAUGUUUUUGAAUAUAGUCUGUAGGAAGCUGCGUAUCAACAAGGCGUAUAUAUAGGGUGUCCAAGUUAAUGUUACCCAAGCUGUUAAAAAAAAACAAAAAAAAAACAAGAUUUAAGAACAUGCUGCAAGAUAUAAUUUAAAGCUUACUGUGUUCGGUCGUCAGACGUCUGACAACUUAAUAUAGCAAGUCUUAUAAUCGUAUUUUGCACCGCGAUAUUUAAAAUUAUUUUUGUUAGACAGGUUGGGGACUAAUGUUGCCACUAGGAAAAGGAUCUAUAAACACCAGAACACUGCAUCACUUCAGUCAUUUAAACAAAGUGAGAGUGACAACGGAAACAAAAUUUAAAAAACCGCGAGUCGGAUUUCAUAAAUAGGCUGUUGCGUAUGCGGCGCCGAAUAAACGGUGCCUCUCCGUUGCAAUCAGAUGUCUCUUGGAUACUCCAAAACCAACUUAUUUGGUAAGCUGGUGUUUGCGUUAUUCUAAUCGACCCAACGUUAGAAGCGUGGAACAUGGAGAACAGGUAAACAAUUACCCUGCAAGUAGAAUAACGUACAGUGUCUCCGGAGCAAACCAGUUUCGCGGGUCGAGUUUCUGCCUGAGCACAAUCAGAAGCGGACAUUGAUCACAGUCACUUCGCGGACGCCACACGUCUCCCUCAAGUUUCCAGUAACCGUGAAGUUGUUCGGCGUUCUUAGGCAUUAAAAUUGUUUCGAAAAUUUCACAAAUGUCACAGUUUCGCCCGAAAGGCGAAGCAUUGAUUGCGACAGCAAAUUAUUGGAAAACCACGAAUAAUUAACAAGCAUGGUGUCGCGCGCACAGGUAAACUUGAACAGAUAUCAUUUGAUGACCGUGAACACUCGCUGCCACAACGCAGGCGUUAUGAGACCUCGGGGAGGCGGGGGGGGGGGGGGGCGAAGCGGACGCUUUUUCUUCAGUAAAAUGGGCUCAACAAUGAAAUGAACUCUACCGCGUACUUUUGAAGAGUCAAAUGCUCAGACUCCAUACACUUUGUCCAUGUCUGUUGCGUACCUCAUCGCUCCCACCGAUGAAAAGACUUUUCAAGAACAGCAGUCGACCCGGAGGUAGGGUGUCUAGAUAGGGGAGGUGUGAUGACCGCGGCGCCCUUCCCAUAGAGAGGGGUGAUCCCCUUGCGCGUGACUACCGCUAGGGCAAUACAGAGCGCUGCGGCCCGGGGCGCCGUGUGCAUUUCCGCGGAGACUGCGCAGAGAAGGCAGCGAGUCUGGCUAGACAGCGCCUGGGCGCCGGAUGUUCACGGUGUGUUUUGCUGCAGAUUGUUGCGUGUGCUGCUUAUUUAUAACUGCUGUGGGCUGACGAAGAUGCCUUCAACUUCAAAGAAAAAAACUCAGAGGUGGUGCUUCGUGCCAGAGUGCGAUUCCGGUUAUAAAUCUUGUUUGGAAAAAGUGUCCCUUUUUCGUGCGCCGACUUGCCAAGAACUGUUUUUGAAGUGGGCGCAUGCCAUUCCAAGGGCCGACAAACCGCUACGUGUUUCAAUACAUUCCACAAAGGCCCUCCUGAAGUACUUAACCAAAAAGGUCGGCUUCAGAUACCUGAUGACGUCGCACCUGAGCCAAGACUGCCUUGAGCGCUCGUUUGGGAUAGUACGGCAGGCAAGUGGUGCAAAUGAUCACCCCACCCCGGCUCAGUUCAUCCUUAUCAUCAGGUGCUUGAGCUUUUACAGUCUUGCAAAGAGCCCUAGAGGUGGAAGCGUGUCGCCAGGACUUCUGGACUCCCUUCUUUCUGCGGAAGAGGCACUCCUGGAAAAUCAGAAACAAGAUGAUGUAUUACCCAUGGACGCUGUUGAAGUGGCCGUGGACCAUGUGGACUAUGUUGAAAAACGAAGCGAUGCUCGCUUGGUAUACUACAUUGCAGGCUACGUGGCCAGGAAGCGUGUGCUCUCAACUAGCUGUGCAGCAUGCAGGGAUGCCUGCCUUGUGCCGAGGGACUGUGUCCCAAAAGAACUCCCAGCUGAUGCCUCCAAAGAGUGGGACUUGGGUGGGCUUCUCUACCCGUCGGAGUCAUUGUAUCGUCUGAUUCAAGAUCUUGAAAGCAGGCUAACACAUGAAUUUAGCAGAACGCGUCUGCAUUCUAAAGCUGCCUUCAGCAUACUCAAAAAAGCGAGUACAAAUGUGCCACAAAUUGGUUGUGUGGAGCAUUGCCUGGAACUUACAGAAUCGGUGGUCAGGUUUUUCUGCCUUGCCAGAAUCCACUUUCAUUUGAAGAGCCUCAACCAGGAAAUGGAUGAGAAAAAAGGCAAAAGAACGAAGCCUUGCCUGAUGUGAAACAAGCAGCAGAAUUGGAAGUACAUUCUGCUGUAUGCAAUAAAGUUUGCUCGUCCAGAAACAUGUUGCUUUUGUUUAUCUGGUUUUUGAAUUGCAGUGAGAAUGAAAUGACUCCAGGACGUUGCACUACAAGGUAUGUCACGGUUUAAUGCUGAUUUGGCAGGUGUAAACGAACUUAAACGCUUUCGUACGUAAUAACGCCCACAACUAAAAAAAAACGGGUGGCGAAAAUGAACAUUCCGGGGGAUCCUAGCAGUUAUCGCGUUGACCUCGGAGAAGAAAGAAUACGAUUGCAUAUAAAUCGUGCAAACAGCAUUCUACGAUAGAUAAGCUCCCCGCUGAUUUAGUGGCUUUAAUAUGGAAUUUCUAAAAUGCGUGCUCGCUUUCUGCCAGCAGAAAACUCGGUUGUGUUACCCCGUAUUCGAAAACCGCAUGAUAACCGUAGCGCAAUACCAUCUUUGCGAUGUCUAAGGGACUGCAGUAUUAGCUAAAAUUUCUAAAACUCAGUCAAAUGCGUUUCCACUACAGCAUUCCCUCUAAACACGCAGCGGACGGCCGCGCGUG